rnacentral:rRNA from 1 species
AGUUUGAUCCUGGCUCAGGAUGAACGCUAGCUACAGGCUUAACACAUGCAAGUCGAGGGGCAGCAUGAACUUAGCUUGCUAAGUUUGAUGGCGACCGGCGCACGGGUGAGUAACACGUAUCCAACCUGCCGAUGACUCGGGGAUAGCCUUUCGAAAGAAAGAUUAAUACCCGAUGGCAUAGUUCUUCCGCAUGGUAGAACUAUUAAAGAAUUUCGGUCAUCGAUGGGGAUGCGUUCCAUUAGGUUGUUGGCGGGGUAACGGCCCACCAAGCCUUCGAUGGAUAGGGGUUCUGAGAGGAAGGUCCCCCACAUUGGAACUGAGACACGGUCCAAACUCCUACGGGAGGCAGCAGUGAGGAAUAUUGGUCAAUGGACGAGAGUCUGAACCAGCCAAGUAGCGUGAAGGAUGACUGCCCUAUGGGUUGUAAACUUCUUUUAUACGGGAAUAAAGUGAGGCACGUGUGCCUUUUUGUAUGUACCGUAUGAAUAAGGAUCGGCUAACUCCGUGCCAGCAGCCGCGGUAAUACGGAGGAUCCGAGCGUUAUCCGGAUUUAUUGGGUUUAAAGGGAGCGUAGGCGGACGCUUAAGUCAGUUGUGAAAGUUUGCGGCUCAACCGUAAAAUUGCAGUUGAUACUGGGUGUCUUGAGUACAGUAGAGGCAGGCGGAAUUCGUGGUGUAGCGGUGAAAUGCUUAGAUAUCACGAAGAACUCCGAUUGCGAAGGCAGCUUGCUGGACUGUAACUGACGCUGAUGCUCGAAAGUGUGGGUAUCAAACAGGAUUAGAUACCCUGGUAGUCCACACAGUAAACGAUGAAUACUCGCUGUUUGCGAUAUACAGUAAGCGGCCAAGCGAAAGCGUUAAGUAUUCCACCUGGGGAGUACGCCGGCAACGGUGAAACUCAAAGGAAUUGACGGGGGCCCGCACAAGCGGAGGAACAUGUGGUUUAAUUCGAUGAUACGCGAGGAACCUUACCCGGGCUUGAAUUGCAACUGAAUGAUGUGGAGACAUGUCAGCCGCAAGGCAGUUGUGAAGGUGCUGCAUGGUUGUCGUCAGCUCGUGCCGUGAGGUGUCGGCUUAAGUGCCAUAACGAGCGCAACCCUUAUCGAUAGUUACCAUCAGGUUAUGCUGGGGACUCUGUCGAGACUGCCGUCGUAAGAUGUGAGGAAGGUGG